rnacentral:rRNA from 1 species
GAUGAACGCUGACAGAAUGCUUAACACAUGCAAGUCAACUUGAACUUCGGUUUGGGUGGCGGACGGGUGGGUAACGCGUAAAGAACUUGCCUCACAGCUAGGGACAACAUUUGGAAACGAAUGCUAAUACCUGAUAUUAUGAUUUUAGGGCAUCCUAGAAUUAUGAAAGCUAUAUGCGCUGUGAGAGAGCUUUGCGUCCCAUUAGCUAGUUGGAGAGGUAACGGCUCACCAAGGCGAUGAUGGGUAGCCGGCCUGAGAGGGUGAACGGCCACAAGGGGACUGAGACACGGCCCUUACUCCUACGGGAGGCAGCAGUGGGGAAUAUUGGACAAUGGACCAAGAGUCUGAUCCAGCAAUUCUGUGUGCACGAUGAAGUUUUUCGGAAUGUAAAGUGCUUUCAGUUGGGAAGAAAAAAAUGACGGUACCAACAGAAGAAGUGACGGCUAAAUACGUG